rnacentral:rRNA from 1 species
AUUGAACGCUGGCGGCAUGCCUUACACAUGCAAGUCGAACGGCAGCACGGGGGCAACCCUGGUGGCGAGUGGCGAACGGGUGAGUAAUAUAUCGGAACGUGCCCUGGAGUGGGGGAGUAACUAGUCGAAAGACUAGCUAAUACCGCAUACGAUCUACGGAUGAAAGUGGGGGAGUCGCAAGACCUCAUGCUCGUGGAGCGGCCGAUAUCUGAUUAGCAGUUGGUGGGGUAAAGCCUACCAAGGCAUCGAUCAGUAGCUGGUCUGAGAGGACGACCAGCCACACUGGGACUGAGACACGGCCCAGACUCCUACGGGAGGCAGCAGUGGGGAAUUUUGGACAAUGGGGCAACCCUGAUCCAGCAAUGCCGCGUGAGUGAAGAAGGCC